GGAGCCCCCUGAGAAACCCACACAGAAGCAGCUCCUCCCCAGCGGCAGCCGGCAGUCCGCCUGCGGCCAUGUUACUGUUACUCACUUUAUGCUGAGAAGUGCGAAUGCUUUUGCAUGUGGCCACGUAGCUGGUAAGGGACAGAAUCUGGAAUCACGUGCAGGGCAGUGACAUUGUAACCUGUGCUUCAACUUCUGUGUCACUCACUGUGUCUCACUAUGAAGUCCCAUGCUGGCAUUGGUCGUGUGGCAAUUCCUCUGCCUCAGUUUCCAAGGGGUUUGUAGACACGAGCGACUGUGCCCGGCUGUAUACUUUGUAAGGUCACAAGUCAGUCAGCAGGACCAGGUACAGUGCGCUGUGCACCACAGUGAGUUGCCUGCUAUACAGAUUGCUGACGCCAGGUCAACACAUACUCAUUACAAUCCUAACAACCACCAUACUUGGGAAGUAGAGGCGGGAAGAUCAGGAGUUCAAGCCCAGCCUCGGCUAUGUGAAACCAAAACAAGCAAACAACAACAAAACACUCAGUUGGGCCGGUGGCAUCGCUCAGUGGAUAAAAGAGCUUGCCACCACACUUGAUGAUUAAGUUCAGUCAGGAAAUAACUAACUCCCAAAAGUUGUCCUCUGACCUCCGCAUGGACAUCAUGCAAUAUAAAUACAUAGGAAAUAAAUAGAAAGAAAAA
rnacentral:lncRNA from 1 species